GUGGGAAUGGCUCAGUGGAUGAAGUGCCUGCCUUGUAAGCAUGAAGUCCUGAGUUCAAUUCCCAGAACUCACG
rnacentral:tRNA from 2 species